GACGUAGGGUCCAAGCGUUGUCCGGAUUUAUUGGGCGUAAAGAGCGCGUAGGCGGCUCGGUAAGUGUGAUGCUAAAUCUCUGGGCUCAACCCAGAAACUAUUUCGCAUACUGCCAAGCUGGAGUGAUGAAGAGGUUUGUGGAAUUCCUGGUGUAGCGGUGAAAUGCGUUGAUAUCAGGAGGAACACCGGUGGUGUAGACGGCUUACUAGACCAAGACUGACGCUGAGGCACGAAAGCGUGGGGAGCAAACAGG
rnacentral:rRNA from 1 species